rnacentral:rRNA from 1 species
GACGAACGCUGGCGGCGUGCUUAGCACAUGCAAGUCGAGCGGUAAGGCCCUUCGGGUACGACGAGCGGCGAACGGGUGAGUAACACGUGGGUGGACCUGCCCUCAGCUCUGGGAUAAGCCCGGGAAACUGGGUCUAAUACCGGAUAUGACCUUCUGUCGCAUGACGGUUGGUGGAAAGUUCUUCGGCUGGGGAUGGGCCCGCGGCCUAUCAGCUUGUUGGUGGGGUGAUGGCCUACCAAGGCGGUGACGGGUAGCGGCCUGAGAGGGCGGACCGGCCACACUGGGAC